GAUGAACGCUGGCGGCGUGCCUAAUACAUGCAAGUCGAGCGAACGGACGAGAAGCUUGCUGCUCUGAGGUUAGCGACGGAUGGGUGAGUAACACGUGGAUAACCUACCCAUAAGACUGGGACUACUUCGGGAAACCGGAGCUAGUACCGGAUAAUAUUAUGAACCGCAUGGUGCAAAAGUGAAUGACGGGCUUGCUGUCGAGUAUAGAUGUAACCGAGCUGCAUUAGCUAGUUGGUAAGGUAACGGUUUACAAAGGCAACGAUGCAUAGCCGACCAGGGAGAGUGGUAGGCCACACUGGAACUGAGACACGGUCCAGACUCCUACGGGAAGCAGCCGUAGGGAAUCUUGCGCGAUGGGAGAAAGCCUGACGGAGCAACGCCGCGUGGGUUAUGAAGGUCUUCGGAUCGUAAAGCUCUGUUAUUAGGGAAGAACAUAUGUGUAAGUAGCUGUACAAGUCUUGACGGUACCUAAUGAGAAAGCCACGGCUAACUCCGUG
rnacentral:rRNA from 1 species